UGAGGAAUAUUGGUCAAUGGGCGCGAGCCUGAACCAGCCAAGUAGCGUGCAGGAAGACGGCCCUAUGGGUUGUAAACUGCUUUUAUGCGGGGAUAAAGGAGUCCACGUGUGGAUUUUUGCAGGUACCGCAUGAAUAAGGACCGGCUAAUUCCGUGCCAGCAGCCGCGGUAAUACGGAAGGUCCGGGCGUUAUCCGGAUUUAUUGGGUUUAAAGGGAGCGUAGGCCGCGUUUUAAGCGUGUUGUGAAAUGUAGACGCCCAACGUCUGCAUCGCAGCGCGAACCGGGACGCUUGAGUACGCGCAACGUUGGCGGAAUUCGUCGUGUAGCGAUGAAAUGCUUAGAUAUGACGAGGAACUCCGAUUGCGAAGGCAGCUGACGGGAGCGGCACUGACGCUUAAGCUCGAAGGUGCGGGUAUCAAACAGG
rnacentral:rRNA from 1 species